AGUGAAAUAGCUGGGUCGAAUGGUGGUUCCAUUCUAAGUUUUCUGAAGAAUCUCCACACUGUUUUCCAUAGUAGCUGUGCCAAUUUACAGUUCCAUCAGCAAU
rnacentral:pre_miRNA from 1 species